UACGUAGGUGGCAAGCGUUGUCCGGAUUUAUUGGGUUUAAAGGGUGCGUAGGCGGCCCACUAAGUCAGUGCUGAAAUAUCCCGGCUUAACCGGGAGGGUGGCAUUGAUACUGGUGGGCUUGAGUACAGAUGAAGUAGGCGGAAUUGACGGUGUAGCGGUGAAAUGCAUAGAUAUCGUCAAGAACACCGAUAGCGAAGGCAGCUUAC
rnacentral:rRNA from 1 species